ACGGCCGGGCCGGGCUGGGCCUGCCGCUCGGAGGCGGCCCAGGACGGUGCUACCGCCGCCCGCGGGGGAGAGCCCGGCCGUCCGCCGAGUCCAGCCCUCCCGCAGAAACUUCCCCUCGCCCUCCCCUGGCCUCGGUCGCCCUCCCCUGGCCUCGGUCGCCCUCCCCUGGCCUCGGUCGCCCUCCCCUGGCCUCGGUCGCCCUUCUCCAUUCCCACGCUGGAGGGACGGAGGGAGCACCGGAGCAGGAAUGCGGUCGGCUCCGCUGGUAUCGGCCGGCGGGCGCCUGCAGGUGCGCGGCACCCCUCGUCCGCUCGAAGUCACCCGAGCACACGGGUCUCUUCUGGUCCCCGGGGGGUGGCCGCUGAACCGAAGCUACCGAGGGCUGCGCAGGCUGCCGGGUGGCUGCGAGGGAGAGGCCUCUGGCGGGGUCUGGAAUUCCGCGGGCGUGACAGUCUGAGGGGAAAACCGCAUACCUCCCUUGCCGAAGUGGGCAGAAAAGGCUGAGCAGAAGAAAUGGAUAGGUAUGCUUUGUGAAAACCUCAGCUAUUCACUGACUUGGACGACUCGUGAGUUUGCUGAGUGGUGGAGGACAUGAUGUUCUCGCGUCUGUAGGAAAAUGGUCAGAAGCGAUUUGAACAUCUGGAAUAAGGCAUGAUUUAUGCUGUCUGGGCCCUUCACUUCUGCUUUAGAAUAGUAGUUACAAUUCUUGCACAGCUGUGUAUUUUUGGCUGCCGUUUACACUAUUGAAACAAUCUCUGAUCUCUUACUUUCUUGGACCUCAUUUCAUCUCAACCUUGCAGCUUAAUAGAAUAUACAGCUACGUAUCAUUGUUCUGAAGGCUGCUCAAAGAGAGCUAUGAUCAGCUCCCUUGCUGUCCCCUGCACGCUGCUUUAACAUUGAGAUCCCUGUUGGCUGAAAUUUGAGCAUGAGGGCAAUGUAUCUGGUACAUUUCAAAAUUUCAUCUGUUUGUAAACUCCAGUGUUGGUCUUGAAUGUCUUUUUGUCAUCAUAAAUCAAAGUAAUAGAAAAAAAUCACUGAUAGUGACAGGUCUUCCAUUUUGUGUUUUUUUUUCUCGACUCUCUUGGGGAUUACAAAGAGUACAAGAGGGUUCUGAAAUUUAUGCCUUGCAGUCUUCUGUAAUGAAGUAAGAGACAAGAAAGGCUGCUCAUUUUUAUAACCCCAUCAUUUAGGAGGUGAUGUGACUGACUCAAAUAAUUGAUUACUAUUUGCCUGUGUAAACUUGCUUAAAGCAAAGGCGGUGAAUUCAUAUGUUAAUUUCCAGUUUGGGGAAUACAUUUAUUUGAGGGGAAA